rnacentral:rRNA from 1 species
GAUGAACGCUGGCGGCGUGCCUAACACAUGCAAGUCGAACGAGGCAAAUGAGAUGAAGUUUUCGGAUGGAUUCUUAUUUACCGAGUGGCGGACGGGUGAGUAACGCGUGGGUAACCUGCCUCAUACAGGGGGAUAACGAUUGGAAACGAUUGCUAAUACCGCAUAAGCGCACAGUACCACAUGGUACAGUGUGAAAAACUCCGGUGGUAUGAGAUGGACCCGCGUCUGAUUAGCUAGUUGGUGAGGUAACGGCCCACCAAGGCGACGAUCAGUAGCCGGCCUGAGAGGGUGAACGGCCACAUUGGGACUGAGACACGGCCCAGUACUCCUACGGGAGGCAGCAGUACGGGAAUUUUGCGCAAUGGCGAAAGCCUGACGCAGCAACGCCGCGUGUGUGAUGACGCCCUUCGGGGUGUAAAACACUAGUCAGUAGGACGAAUUUGACGGUACCUACACGA